rnacentral:rRNA from 1 species
AGGGAAUCUUCCACAAUGGACGAAAGUCUGAUGGAGCAAUGCCGCGUGAGCGAAGAAGGUUUUCGGAUCGUAAAGCUCUGUUGUGAGGGAAGAACAAGUACGGGAGUAACUGUCCGUACCUUGACGGUACCUCAUUAGAAAGCCACGGCUAACUACGUGCCAGCAGCCGCGGUAAUACGUAGGUGGCAAGCGUUGUCCGGAAUUAUUGGGCGUAAAGCGCGCGCAGGCGGCCUUUUAAGUCUGAUGUGAAAGCCCACGGCUCAACCGUGGAAGGUCAUUGGAAACUGAAAGGCUUGAGUACAGAAGAGGAAAGCGGAAUUCCACGUGUAGCGGUGAAAUGCGUAGAGAUGUGGAGGAACACCAGUGGCGAAGGCGGCUUUCUGGUCUGUAACUGACGCUGAGGCGCGAAAGCGUGGGGAGCAAAC